rnacentral:misc_RNA from 1 species
AAGUCGUAACAAGGUUUCCGUAGGUGAACCUGCGGAAGGAUCAUUGCCGAACGGACGCGCGCCCUCCGCCCGCCUCGCUUCCGCGAGUGGCGAGUCGGCCGCGUCUCAUCGCACACCCGUGUGAACUCGUGAUCGUGACCCUGGACGGUGGCUGCGUCAUUCAUCAUCAUCUCGAUGACGACGACGAAGCCGCCGAUCCGGCUCCCUUCUCACAAACCACCGAUACCACUCUUGACUGAGACUCACGAGAGUCGCGUCUGACCACGCGUCGCUCGACAAGACACAACCUAUCACAACUUUUAACAACGGAUAUCUUGGCUCGC